rnacentral:rRNA from 1 species
AUUGAACGCUGGCGGCAUGCUUUACACAUGCAAGUCGAACGGUAACAGGCCGCAAGGUGCUGACGAGUGGCGAACGGGUGAGUGAUGCAUCGGAACGUGCCCAGUCGUGGGGGAUAACGCAGCGAAAGCUGUGCUAAUACCGCAUACGAUCUAUGGAUGAAAGCGGGGGACCGUAAGGCCUCGCGCGAUUGGAGCGGCCGAUGUCAGAUUAGGUAGUUGGUGGGGUAAAGGCUCACCAAGCCAACGAUCUGUAGCUGGUCUGAGAGGACGACCAGCCACACUGGGACUGGGACACGGCCCAGACUCCUACGGGAGGCAGCAGUGGGGAAUUUUGGACAAUGGGCGCAAGCCUGAUCCAGCAAUGCCGCGUGCAGGAAGAAGGCCUUCGGGUUGUAAACUGCUUUUGUAUGGGAGCAAAAGUAUUUAGUGAAUAGCUGAAUAAACUGAGAGUACCAUAAGAAUAAGCACCGGCUAACUACGUGCCAGCCGCCGCAGUAA